UGGGGAAUAUUGCACAAUGGGCGCAAGCCUGAUGCAGCCAUGCCGCGUGUAUGAAGAAGGCCUUCGGGUUGUAAAGUACUUUCAGCGGGGAGGAAGGGAGUAAAGUUAAUACCUUUGCUCAUUGACGUUACCCGCAGAAGAAGCACCGGCUAACUCCGUGCCAGCAGCCGCGGUAAUACGGAGGGUGCAAGCGUUAAUCGGAAUUACUGGGCGUAAAGCGCACGCAGGCGGUUUGUUAAGUCAGAUGUGAAAUCCCCGGGCUCAACCUGGGAACUGCAACUGAUACUGGCAAGCUUGAGUAUCGUAGAGGGGGGUAGAAUUCCAGGUGUAGCGGUGAAAUGCGUAGAGAUCUGGAGGAAUACCGGUAGCGAAGGCGGCCCCCUGGACGAAGACUGACGCUCAGGUGCGAAAGCGUGGGGAGCAAACAGG
rnacentral:rRNA from 1 species